CUCGUUCUUGCCUUGGUAUUUUUUAACACAGAUAUCAACCAUCGUGUUACACUGAGAUGCUAAUAAUCCUUGUUUGAAAAUCCCCCAGGGCUGGGCGCAGUGGCUCACGCCUGUAAUCCCAACACUGGGAAGCCAAGGUGAGCAGAUCACCUGAGGUCGGGAGUUUGAGACCAGACUGGCCAACAUGGAGAAAUCCCGUCUCUACUAAAAGUACAAAAUUAGCCAGGCGUGGUGGUGCAUGCCUGUAAUCCCAGCUACUAGGGAGGCUGAGACAGAAUUGCUUGAACCUGGGAGGCAGCGGUUACGGUGAACCUAGAUGGCGCCAUUGCACUUCAGCCUGGGCAACAAGAGUGAAACUCUUGUCUCCAAAAAAGAAAAGCCCCCAAAUGCAAGUGACUCAUGUUGAAAUCCUGUUUCAGAGGCCCGUGCAAGAAAUUAUCAUCGCUUUAAGAAUACACAGAAACUGCUAAGUUUUUCCAGCUCUCUGAUGUCUACAAAACUGAGUAGAACAGUGUGCCCUUUGGGGCCAACAAAGCGACUGCUGCCAAGCAGGGUAACGUGCUUUCAAACCUGAAGCAUUUUAGUCCUCAAAGGAAAGCCCAGCCCCUCCACAGCUUGGGUGUCCUGCUGGCCACAGAGCCACUGUCCCGGGCUGCUACCCUCUGUGCUCGGCCCCUCCCCUCCACCGCCCCUGCCCUCAUUCCAUUAUUAGGUAUGCAUUUCAGAUUUUGAAUGGAUCUCCUUGUCUGGCGUUAAUUGACAGUGAAAGCCCGGUUUUCAAAGCCAAGGUACAAGCACUGAAGGUUGACCAGAUAUGGUUAACUUCGCUAAAGGAAUGUGGGGAAUAGGGCAGGGGCCUUCAUUAACUUCAUGCCAGGUCGCAGGAGUUUGAGGCUGUAACAAAAGCAGAUGUGAGCAUCUGUAGCCCAUCCAGAGAGCAGCAUGGCAGAAGGACUGGGGCGUUCGCCUAAUGCUACAUAAUCAUUCAGUGUCAUUGAUCUCCCCAGACCCUGAUUAAUAAAUUGCAGCAGAAGUCUUUUACAGCAGUGACUACAAUUUUAUUUCACCUAUUAGAAGCCCGUCACAGUGCACACCAGUCAUGCAGGACAAGCUUACACACCCCUCCCUUCCACCCCUCCAGGCCUGUCCAUAGUUCUGAAUUCACUUUGCUUGUGCACCUCCAUGGGCCUGUUUUGGUUAAGAAACGUGGGGUGCCUUUUGCAGGUCCCUCCAUUGUGCCAAGCUAACCCCAGGCUGACCACAGGGAACAGAAAGGGAGCAUCAGCAAAGGGGUCAGUUCAAACAGCAACUUGAGGUUUGUUUUUUUUCAAUGCAACACAG
rnacentral:lncRNA from 1 species